rnacentral:rRNA from 1 species
UGGGGAAUAUUGGGCAAUGGGCGAAAGCCUGACCCAGCGACGCCGCGUGAGGGAAGAAGGUCUUCGGAUUGUAAACCUCUGUUGACAGGGAAGAAGAAAGUGACGGUACCUGUCGAGGAAGUCACGGCUAACUACGUGCCAGCAGCCGCGGUAAUACGUAGGUGGCAAGCGUUAUCCGGAUUUACUGGGUGUAAAGGGUGUGUAGGCGGGACGACAAGUCAGAUGUGAAACUCAUGGGCUCAACCCAUGACCUGCAUUUGAAACUGCCGUUCUUGA